CCAUGCAAGUCGAACGAUGAAGCCCAGCUUGCUGGGUGGAUUAGUGGCGAACGGGUGAGUAACACGUGAGUAACCUGCCCUUGACUCUGGGAUAAGCGCUGGAAACGGCGUCUAAUACCGGAUACGACCUGCCCCGGCAUCGGGUGCGGGUGGAAAGUUUUUCGGUCAAGGAUGGACUCGCGGCCUAUCAGCUAGUUGGUGAGGUAAUGGCUCACCAAGGCGACGACGGGUAGCCGGCCUGAGAGGGUGACCGGCCACACUGGGACUGAGACACGGCCCAGACUCCUACGGGAGGCAGCAGUGGGGAAUAUUGCACAAUGGGCGAAAGCCUGAUGCAGCAACGCCGCGUGGGGGAUGACGGCCUUCGGGUUGUAAACCUCUUUUAGUAGGGAAGAAGGGCUUCGGCUUGACGGUACCUGCAGAAAAAGCACCGGCUAACUACGUGCCAGCAGCCGCGGUAAUACGUAGGGUGCAAGCGUUGUCCGGAAUUAUUGGGCGUAAAGAGCUCGUAGGCGGUUUGUCGCGUCUGCUGUGAAAACCCGAGGCUCAACCUCGGGCCUGCAGUGGGUACGGGCAGACUAGAGUGCGGUAGGGGAGAAUGGAAUUCCUGGUGUAGCGGUGGAAUGCGCAGAUAUCAGGAGGAACACCGAUGGCGAAGGCAGUUCUCUGGGCCGUUACUGACGCUGAGGAGCGAAAGCGUGGGGAGCGAACAGGAUUAGAUACCCUGGUAGUCCACGCCGUAAACGUUGGGAACUAGAUGUGGGGACCUUUCCACGGUCUCCGUGUCGCAGCUAACGCAUUAAGUUCCCCGCCUGGGGAGUACGGCCGCAAGGCUAAAACUCAAAGGAAUUGACG
rnacentral:rRNA from 1 species